AGCGAACGCUGGCGGCAGGCUUAACACAUGCAAGUCGAACGCCCGUAGCAAUACGGGAGUGGCAGACGGGAGAGUAACACGUGGGAACGUGCCCUUCAGUUCGGAACAACCAAGGGAAACUUUGGCUAAUACCGGAUACGUCCGUAAGGAGAAAGAUUUAUCGCUGAAGGAUCGGCCCGCGUCUGAUUAGCUAGUUGGUGGGGUAACGGCUCACCAAGGCGACGAUCAGUAGCUGGUCUGAGAGGAUGAUCAGCCUCACUGGGACUGAGACACGGCCCAGACUCCUACGGGAGGCAGCAGUGGGGAAUCUUGGACAAUGGGCGCAAGCCUGAUCCAGCCAUGCCGCGUGGGUGAUGAAGGCCCUAGGGUUGUAAAGCCCUUUCGGCGGGGAAGAUAAUGACGGUACCCGCAGAAGAAGCCCCGGCUAACUUCGUGCCAGCCGCCGCAGUAACAC
rnacentral:rRNA from 1 species